GUCUUCUUGAUGAAAUUUGAAGUCGUGCCUGCCCAAUGAAAGUAUUUAAAUGGCCGCGGUAUUUUGACCGUGCAAAGGUAGCAUAAUCAUUAGUCUUUUAAUUGGAGGCUGGAAUGAAUGGUUUGACGAAACAAUAACUGUCUCAGGAUUAUUUAUUGAAAUUUAUUUUUAAGUUAAAAAGCUUAAAUAGUGAUGGGGGACGAGAAGACCCUAUAGAUCUUUAUAGUAUGAUUUAAAUUAAGUUGUUGGUUGUUAUAAUUACUUGUUUUAAGUUAGAUUAUUUCAUUGGGGUGAUGAGAGAAUAGAAAAACUUCUUUUUAUUUAACUAUGAUGAUUGGUUAUAUGAUCCUGUAUUAUGGAAUAUAAGAAUAAGAUACCUUAGGGAUAACAGCGUAAUUUUAUUGGAGAGUUCUUAUCGAUAAUAAAGAUUGCGACCUCGAUGUUGGAUUAAGAUUAUAAUUAGGUGC
rnacentral:rRNA from 1 species